rnacentral:rRNA from 1 species
GACGAACGCUGGCGGCGUGCUUAACACAUGCAAGUCGAACGGAAAGGCCCUGCUUUUGUGGGGUUCUCGAGUGGCGAACGGGUGAGUAACACGUGAGUAACCUGCCCUUGACUUUGGGAUAACUUCAGGAAACUGGGGCUAAUACCGGAUAGGAGCUCCUGCUGCAUGGUGGGGGUUGGAAAGUUUCGGCGGUUAGGGAUGGACUCGCGGCUUAUCAGCUUGUUGGUGGGGUAGUGGCUUACCAAGGCUUUGACGGGUAGCCGGCCUGAGAGGGUGACCGGCCACAUUGGGACUGAGAUACGGCCCAGACUCCUACGGGAGGCAGCAGUGGGGAAUAGUGCACAAUGGGCGGAAGCCUGAUGCAGCAACGCCGCGUGCGGGAUGACGGCCUUCGGGUUGUAAACCGCUUUCGCCUGUGACGAAGCGUGAGUGACGGUAAUGGGUAAAGAGGCACCGGCUAACUACGUG